rnacentral:rRNA from 1 species
ACGACCUACGGGUGAAAGGGGGCGCAAGCUCUUGCUAUUAGAUGAGCCUAAAUCAGAUUAGCUAGUUGGUGGGGUAAAGGCCCACCAAGGCGACGAUCUGUAACUGGUCUGAGAGGAUGAUCAGUCACACCGGAACUGAGACACGGUCCGGACUCCUACGGGAGGCAGCAGUGGGGAAUAUUGGACAAUGGGGGCAACCCUGAUCCAGCCAUGCCGCGUGUGUGAAGAAGGCCUUUUGGUUGUAAAGCACUUUAAGCGGGGAGGAGAGGCUAAUGGUUAAUACCCAUUAGAUUAGACGUUACCUGCAGAAUAAGCACCGGCUAACUCUGUGCCAGCAGCCGCGGUAAUACAGAGGGUGCGAGCGUUAAUCGGAAUUACUGGGCGUAAAGCGAGUGUAGGUGGCUCAUUAAGUCACAUGUGAAAUCCCCGGGCUUAACCUGGGAACUGCAUGUGAUACUGGUGGUGCUAGAAUAUGUGAGAGGGAAGUAGAAUUCCAGGUGUAGCGGUGAAAUGCGUAGAGAUCUGGAGGAAUACCGAUGGCGAAGGCAGCUUCCUGGCAUAAUAUUGACACUGAGAUUCGAAAGCGUGGGUAGCAAACAGGAUUAGAUACCCUGGUAGUCCACGCCGUAAACGAUGUCUACUAGCCGUUGGGGUCCUUGAGACUUUAGUGGCGCAGUUAACGCGAUAAGUAGACCGCCUGGGGAGUACGGCCGCAAGGUUAAAACUCAAAUGAAUUGACGGGGGCCCGCACAAGCGGUGGAGCAUGUGGUUUAAUUCGAUGCAACGCGAAGAACCUUACCUGGUCUUGACAUAGUGAGAAUCCUGCAGAGAUGCGGGGAGUGCCUUCGGGAAUUCACAUACAGGUGCUGCAUGGCUGUCGUCAGCUCGUGUCGUGAGAUGUUGGGUUAAGUCCCGCAACGAGCGCAACCCUUUUCCUUAUUUGCCAGCGGGUUAAGCCGGGAACUUUAAGGAUACUGCCAGUGACAAACUGGAGGAAGGCGGGGACGACGUCAAGUCAUCAUGGCCCUUACGACCAGGGCUACACACGUGCUACAAUGGUAGGUACAGAGGGUUGCUACACAGCGAUGUGAUGCUAAUCUCAAAAAGCCUAUCGUAGUCCGGAUUGGAGUCUGCAACUCGACUCC